rnacentral:lncRNA from 1 species
UGUUUUCCAGAAAACAGGGACAAAAAUCAAAUGUGUGACGCUCUUGAACUGGUCUCCCUAGGAAAAUAGCCUGUUUGUGAACAAAAAUGUGAUCCCAAACAGAAAAUGGUCAUGUAACUGAAACAUGUGUAUGGCUGGAGGAGAGAUAAGAGUUGGUGAGAAGGAGAGUAACUGCAGUACCAUCAGAAAUAAUGCACUCCCUAAGAAAUAACCCCCUGCUGCUCUGUGGGAGCUGAGGGCAGCUCAGCACAGCACUGUGCCUUGCAGAGACUGUGAAUAUUCAGCCAGAGACUCUGUGCUGGCACAGGGCCCUCUCCAGCAGCCAGUGAGGGUCUGCUGGCCACCUGUCCUCUGCCCUUCUCCUGGUGCCCACUGCAGUGGCCAUGGAGUUCACUGGUUUCUUCACACUGUCAGUGGCUGACAUUGCCACAGGAGUGCCACCUCCCAGCACAGGGUAUUGCCUGAACACUCGUGCCUAGAUGGGACCAGUGUCCUUUCCAGGGUUGCAAAGAGACACAGCCAGCUGGGAUUCACCACCCAGGACCUCCUCCUGAAGGUAUUCCAGUGGGAGCUGUGGGAAUUCCCAUCACAUUUCCUGAAAAUGGGUCUGCUGUACAGCAAGAAGCUCAGGCUCUGAUCAGAUAGAGAGGCACCACUGCAGAUAUGACUGUGAUUUAGUGGUCGAGGUUCUCACCAAAGAGGUCCAGAACUUUCUCCUCCCUGGAGCUCUGUUGUUGCCUAAUUGUGAUGAAAAGUUCAAAGAGGUUGGCUUGUGCACUCAUCUCAUCCAAGGGCACAGGAAUCAUGGAAUCAUGAAUUGUUUACGUUGGAAAAGACCUCUAGGAUGGAGGUAAAGAGAGGAAAGUACAGGAGAAGCACAGCACAAAGCAGCAAGAGUGAGGAAUGGCACGUGGGUCUGGACUAAUGGAUUAAUGGAAGAGCCACCAGCACACCUUGGAGAUGAUGCUCCUGAGGGAAAGGCUGGCAUGGAAGAUGACACAAAGCAAGGCCAGGGUGAAGGAUGCAGGCAGCACACCUGGGGACACAUGAGGGAGUGAGGGACUGAAGGGAAAAUACAGCCUAGAGGCAAGAGAAGAAUCCAGAGAGAAGGUGAAGAACUGUGACAAGUUAAGAGCAAGAGUGUUCAGGGUAAUCAGAAGAGAAAAUCUCCCUGGGAUAAUAUUUCAAAAUUUAAUUUGUCUGAACAUUACAUCACAUAAUCUCUGACUUGCUUUCACUGUAGUGAUUACUGACAAAC